rnacentral:rRNA from 1 species
AUUGAACGCUGGCGGCAGGCCUAACACAUGCAAGUCGAGCGGAUGAAGGGAGCUUGCUCCUGGAUUCAGCGGCGGACGGGUGGGUAAUGCCUAGGAAUCUGCCUGGUAGUGGGGGAUAACGUCCGGAAACGGGCGCUAAUACCGCAUACGUCCUGAGGGAGAAAGUGGGGGAUCUUCGGACCUCACGCUAUCAGAUGAGCCUAGGUCGGAUUAGCUAGUUGGUGGGGUAAGGGCCUACCAAGGCGACGAUCCGUAACUGGUCUGAGAGGAUGAUCAGUCACACUGGAACUGAGACACGGUCCAGACUCCUACGGGAGGCAGCAGUGGGGAAUAUUGGACAAUGGGCGAAAGCCUGAUCCAGCCAUGCCGCGUGUGUGAAGAAGGUCUUCGGAUUGUAAAGCACUUUAAGUUGGGAGGAAGGGCAGUAAGUUAAUACCUUGCUGUUUUGACGUUACCAACAGAAUAAGCACCGGCUAACUUCGUG